AGUCUAUAAUGUGGACAUUUCUUUAGCAAGUUCCUAAACCUUUUCCAAGUUUCAUAUAAUGACUUACCAUCAUGUUGGCUAAAACUAGUUAUAUCCAUUCUAAGUUU